rnacentral:ncRNA from 1 species
CACCUGUUGCCACCGGGUAAUGGGAAAAGCGUCAUUUUCUUAUCGUUAGGUCAUGGAAGAUAAGAAAAUGACGCUGUUUUUGUA